rnacentral:lncRNA from 1 species
AGAAUAGAAAAGCAGCAUUCUGAACAGCAAUGCUCAUCACAUAAACAUGAAGUUUCCUCCAAAAGGAAUGAUGACUAAUGCUUUGAGGAAACAGCAGACGUCAGACAGCAAGCCCAGAAAAACCUGCCAGCACCAAGAGGGUGUCCUCAACAGGCGCCUGGGGGACAUAUUAUUCUAACUAAAGAGACCAGAGCUUCCCCAGGAAGGGAAGAGGAGAGAAAUGAAGAACGUCUGUGUUCAUGUUUGCCAAAAACAAAAGUCUGAGAAAUCUCUGAGAGACUCUACAUGGGAGCAUCAAGCACAAAUGAUGAUCUCCUAGGACAGUGGCAGCUUCUGAGAAUGCACAGGAAAGUGACCAGGGAAAGAAUGAUUCCAUCUCCAGGAAUCCCUGGUGAUCUUCAGAGCCCAGACAGGACCCUGCUGGGCCAUGGUAACUGAGAAACUGAGAAGCAGAUACAGUGGUCCCUAUGUUGGCAACCUCAGCUGAAGAGGAACAACUCUCUCUAUAAUCAAGACUUAAUCUUGGCCUGGUGUGCCUCAUUUUUAUAGGACUUCUGAAACCAGAAAUCACCAGCGUGGGGAGAGAACAUUAAAGGCAGAGGUGUCUCUUAUAAGCACAACGUGUGACCAGGUAAUACUGUCUGGAUUAGCAGCUGUACAGCCUAACUAAGCCCUGGAGCUACAAUUAUCUGGUCGCAUUAAACUGAAAUCACCUGAAAAACUUCACACUGAACAAGCCUUUGGAAAUGUCUAAUCUGCCAGUUUACACCCAGAAGUGAAAGUGGAAUUCACUUGUUAAAGACAAGAAAACAAAAGUUUUCUGCCAGGAAGAGUCUCAUCUUAGAACCAGUAUAGGGUCUGAAGACAUUUCUGCAAUUUAUGUUUAUGCCAUUCUUUCACUUUUAUUUAAAAAGGAGAUUUAACCUGACCAUUCUCUUUGAAGCCGAUGUCCCAAGUAUAUAUGUUUGAUGAGGGUACAGAAGACAUAAGGAAUAAAACUGCAUUGCCACAGAGGGAAUACACGGCUCCAGAUACAAGGCUUUAUGCUAAUUUUAGCAAAAUGUAUGUAUCUUUUUACAUACAUAAAGUUAUGGCACUAUAUAAAGAGAUCCUUAAAUGUGACAUACACUGAAGUCCUAUUUACUGCCUGAGUAUUCCUUUUAAAAAAUAAAAACUACAAGUAGUGGUUGUAUUAAUAUUAAA